CCGGGGCCCGCAGUGGAGAGAGAGCGAGCGGGGCUUUGGCCGCGGAGCCAGCCCGGCGCGCUCGCCCCUCGCUGUGCAGGUUACUCAUUAUAAACAAUAUCCACGGCCCCCGAGCUGGAGCCGGCGCGAGCCGAGCAGAGCCGAGGUCGGGCCGCGAGGGGAGCCGGCUGAGCGGGCGCCGAGCUCCCGACAUGGCCCGGAACACCCUGUCUCGCGCUUCCGCCGGGUGCACAUAGACGAAUUUGACGAGAACAGAUUUGUGGAGGAGCAGGAGGAGGAGGCGGCGGCGGCGGCGGCGGCGGCGCCAGGCCCGGACCCGAGCGAGGUGGACGGGCUACUGCGGCACAUCACAGGGGACAUGCUUCGGGCAUUCCACGCAGCCUUGCGGAACUCUCCCGUCAACACCAAGAAUCAAGCCCUGAAGGAAAGAGCCCAGGGCGUGGUGCUGAAAGUGCUCACAGACUUCAAGAGCAGUGAGACCGAGCAGGCUGUGCAGUCACUGGGCAGAAACGGCUGACUUGUUAAUGAAGUACAUUUAUAAAGGCUUUGAGAAGCCUACAGAAAAUAGCAGCGCAGUGCUGCUCCAGUGGCAUGAAAAGGCCUUGGCAGGAGGAGGACUAGGCUCCAUUAGAAGACUUCUUACAGCAAGAAAGACUGUUUAAAAAAAAGUAAAAGACUCAUGUUACCUUGAGAAGAAUUCUGGAUGCCCAGGCUGGUGAAGAAGGGAUUGACAAUGGACCAUCUUCCUAGGAACUCCCAACUAAACUAUUUCAGGACAUGUAUCUGCUGAAAUGUAUUUUAUCUUCAAGCUGGAGGGGAAAAUCGUCUGCUUCCUAAAUCCUGUGCAGGAUCUGAUAGUCUAUGCCUUUGUCUCCGAGUACUGCGGAGCUGACAUUUUGUCUACGAGUGGUGGCUGGCAUUGGUCAGGCGCACCUGUGUGCACUGGGGGAGGGAUGGUUUGGGCAGAUGCAGAUCCAAGGGCCGUGGUAAAUGGGAGAGCUUGUGUUUUUGAAGUGGGAAAAACCAAGAGUUUGUACAGACAUCCUGUCUUCCAGAGAAGGAGCAUGCUCUUGGGCUCAUUGUAAAGUGCCUGCUGCAUCAAUAAAGCUCUUGGCUUAUUAGUAUAAAAAAUAAAAUAAAAUAAAUAAACAAUAUCCACCCAACACAAGUAAAGUUUAUUCCUACUUUGAAUGCUGUGAAAAGGCGGCAGAAAAGUCAAAUGGAAGGAAGGUGAAAUACGAGGAAACAGUAUUUUAUGGGUUGCAGUACAUUCUUAAUAAGUACUUAAAAGGUAAAGUAAUAACCAAAGAGAAAAUCCAAGAAGCCAAAGAGGUCUACAAAGAACAUUUCCAUGAUGAUGUUUUUAAUGAAAAGGGAUGGAACUACAUUCUUGAGAAAUGUGAUGGGCAUCUUCCAAUAGAAGUCAAAGCUGUUCCUGAUGGUUCUGUCAUUCCCAGAGGAAAUGUUCUCUUCACAGUGGAAAACACAGAUCCAGAGUGUUACUGGCUUACAAAUUGGAUCGAGACUGUUCUUGUUCAGUCCUGGGAUCCAAUCACAGUGGCCACAAAUUCUAGAGAGCAGAAGAAAAUAUUGGCCAACUGUUUGUUAGAAACUUCUGGUAACUGAGAUGGUCUGGAAUACAAGUUACAUGAUUUUGGCUACAGAGGAGUCUCUUGCCAAGAGACUGCUGGCAUAGGAGCAUCUGCUCAUUUGGUUAACUUCAAAGGAACAGAUACAGUAGCAGGAAUUGCUCUUAUAAAAAAAUAUUAUGGAACGAAAGAUCCUGUUCCAGGCUAUUCUGUUCCAGCAGCAGAACACAGUACCAUAACAGCCUGGGGGAAAGACCAUGAAAAAGAUGCUUUUGAACACACAGUAACACAGUUUUCAUCAGUGCCUGUAUCCGUGGUCAGCGAUAGCUAUGACAUUUGUAAUGUGUGUGAGAAAAUAUGGGGUGAAGAUCUAAGACAUUUAAUAGUAUCCAGAAGUACAGAGGCACCACUAAUAAUCAGACCUGAUUCUGGAAACCCUCUCGACACUGUAUUAAAGGUUUUGGAGAUUUUAGGUAAGAAGUUUCCUGUUACUGAGAACUCAAAGGGCUACAAGUCACUGCCACCUUAUCUCACAGUGAUUCAAGGGGAUGGAGUAGAUAUUAAUACCUUACAAGAGAUUGUAGAAGGCAUGAAACUAAAAAAGUGGAGUAUUGAAAAUGUUUCCUUCGGUUCUGGUGGAGCUUUGCUACAGAGGUUAACAAGAAAUCUCUUGAAUCGUUCCUUCAAGUGUAGUUAUGUUGUAACCAAUGGCCUUGGAAUUGACGUCUUCAAGGACCCAGUUGCUGAUCCCAACAAAAGGUCGAGAAAGGGCCGACUAUCUUUACAUAGGACACCAGCAGGGAAUUUUGUUACACUGGAGGAAGGAAAAGGAGACCUUGAGGAAUAUGGUCAUGAUCUUCUCCAUACUGUCUUCAAGAAUGGCAAGGUGACAAAAAGCUCUUCAUUUGAUGAAGAAAAAAUGCACAGCUGAAUAUUGUACUGGAAGCAGCACCUCAGCAGUCUUUGUUUUAUGACUGUGUGUUGCAUGUGUGUGUGUGUAAUACAUGUUUAUUGUACAGAUGUGUGGGGUUUCUUUGUGUUCUGUGAUACAUUACAGCCAAAUUAUUUGUUGGUUUAUGGACAUACUGCCCUUUCAUUUUUUUUCCCAGUGUUUAAGUGAUCUGAAAUCAGGAAAUGCACUUAACCAUGUAAAAGAUUAGGGCUAAAGUAAGCUUUUUAGGGCCUUUGCCAAUAGGUAGCUAUUCAAUCUGGUAUUGAUCUUUUCACAAAUAACAGAAGUGAGAAACUUUUAUAAUUACUAAUGAUCCCAUAAAACAGAUUUGCAUAAAUUAUCAUGAUUGCUUUAUGUUUAUAUUUAACUUGUAUUUUCGUACAAACAAGAUUAUGUAAGAUAUAUUUACAGUUUCAGUGAUGUAACAGUCUUUCCAACUUUUCAUGAUUUUUAUGAGCACAGACAUUCAAGAAAAUACUUGAAAAUAAAUUACAUUGUCUUUUGUCCAUUAAUCAGCAAAUAAAACAUGGCCUUAACAAA